ACGUACACUCCUACGGGAGGCAGCAGUGGGGAAUAUUGCACAAUGGGCGCAAGCCUGAUGCAGCCAUGCCGCGUGUAUGAAGAAGGCCUUCGGGUUGUAAAGUACUUUCAGCGGGGAGGAAGGCGAUAAGGUUAAUAACCUUGUCGAUUGACGUUACCCGCAGAAGAAGCACCGGCUAACUCCGUUCCAGCAGCCGCGGUAAUACGGAGGGUGCAAGCGUUAAUCGGAAUUACUGGGCGUAAAGCGCACGCAGGCGGGCUGUCAAGUCGGAUGUGAAAUCCCCGGGCUCAACCUGGGAACUGCAUUCGAAACUGGCAGGCUAGAGUCUUGUAGAGGGGGGUAGAAUUCCAGGUGUAGCGGUGAAAUGCGUAGAGAGCUGGAGGAAUACCGGUGGCGAAGGCGGCCCCCUGGACAAAGACUGACGCUCAGGUGCGAAAGCGUGGGGAGCAAACAGGAUUAGAAACCCUAGUAGUCCCA
rnacentral:rRNA from 1 species